UUAUUGUCCCUCCCCUGGCCACACCCCUUCAGACAUGCGUAGUGCUCCCCUUGGUCCAGCGCGGGAAGCUCCCUCGUGAGUGUCCGAAACUAUUAGCUCACUCACUGCCUCAUGUGAAGAUUAACUCUUAAGUACUCCACAACUACACGCUUUUGAAACUGGCGUUGGCAUAGCGUUAGUUCUGUGCAGGGCGGACGCAGCAGGACAGAAUCUCCCUGGGCAUCUUUUCGGAGCAUCAAUUUUACUGCAAAAUUUUGAAAAAACAAAUUUAAUUGAUUUCCAAGGAAUGCAGAAAUAAGGAGGGACAGCUCUACCUAUGUUUGGAGUCCAUGAAUGUGUCAUCUUGCUGUGUUUGUAAAUAGAAAUUUAUUUCACAAAAUGACUCAACUGCUUCUUCACUAACAUGUUCAAAAACUUGCAAGAAGCAGCCAGGCAUGGUGGCUCACACCUGUAAUCCCAGCACUUUGGGAGACCCAGGCAGGAAGAUCACCUGAGGUUGGGAGUUCGAGACUAGCCUGACCAACAUGG
rnacentral:lncRNA from 10 species